rnacentral:misc_RNA from 1 species
GAGUUGCAAAACUCCAACAAACCAUCGCGAAUCUUACCCGUACGGUUGCCUCGGCGCUGGCGGUCCGGAAGGCCCUCGGGCCCCCGGAUCCUCGGGUCUCCCGCUCGCGGGAGGCUGCCCGCCGGAGUGCCGAAACCAAACUCUUGAUAUUUUAUGUCUCUCUGAGUAAACUUUUAAAUAAGUCAAAACUUUCAACAACGGAUCUCUUGGUUCU